UACGAAGGGGGCUAGCGUUGUUCGGAAUUACUGGGCGUAAAGCGCGCGCAGGCGGCUAUCCAAGUCAGUGGUGAAAGCCCGGAGCUCAACUCCGGAACUGCCAUUGAAACUGUUUAGCUUGAGGAUGAGAGAGGUGAGUGGAAUUCCCAGUGUAGAGGUGAAAUUCGUAGAUAUUGGGAAGAACACCGGUGGCGAAGGCGGCUCACUGGCUCAUUACUGACGCUCAGGCGCG
rnacentral:rRNA from 1 species